GUCUACGGCCAUGCCACCCUGAAUGUGCCCGAUCUUGUCUGAUCUCGGAAGCUAAGCAGAGUCGGGCCUGGUUAGUACUUGGAUGGGAGACCACCUAGGAAGACCAGGUGCUGUACGCA
rnacentral:rRNA from 1 species